rnacentral:rRNA from 1 species
UACGGGGGGGGCAAGCGUUGUUCGGAAUUACUGGGCGUAAAGGGCUCGUAGGCGGCCAACUAAGUCGGAUGUGAAAUCCCCAGGCUUAACCUGGGAACUGCAUCCGAUACUGGAUGGCUUGAAUCCGGGAGAGGGAUGCGGAAUUCCAGGUGUAGCGGUGAAAUGCGUAGAUAUCCGGAAGAACACCGGUGGCGAAGGCGGUCUGCUGGGCCGUUGCUGACGCUGAGGCGCGACAGCGUGGGGAGCAAAAGGG